UACGAAGGGGGCUAGCGUUGUUCGGAAUUACUGGGCGUAAAGGGCGCGUAGGCGGUGUGUCAAGUCAGGCGUGAAAGCCCCGGGCUCAACCUGGGAACCGCGCUUGAGACUGGCACGCUCGAGUUCGGGAGAGGAUGGUGGAAUUCCCAGUGUAGAGGUGAAAUUCGUAGAUAUUGGGAAGAACACCGAUGGCGAAGGCAGCCAUCUGGACCGACACUGUCGCUGAGGCGCGAAAGCGUGGGGAGCAAACAGG
rnacentral:rRNA from 1 species